AAGUAGGACCCACAUUUGUCCAGUCACUAGCCUAAGUGGAAUGACACCAAAUUGCUGACUAUGAAAAAACUAAAUCUGACUUGGCAAACUCUACGGAUUCACAUUAUUGUCCUAAUUUCUCUCCACCAAAUCUUUAUGCUUCUCUUCUUCACCAGCAAAAUUUUCCUCUCCUUCACCAACAACUGCUGAAUCUCUACACUCCACAUAUAAAAUCAUCGCCAAAACUUGCAUUUUCAGCCACAAAAUCUAUAUUUUAAAUAGCUAGGUGAUGAAUGGGAAAUCCAAUUUGUUCUUUCUUCUCUUCUUCAAUGAAUUAAUGUUUUUGUAUCGCUUCUUUACCAUUUUUCUAGUUCUUUUCGCUUUGAAUAAUCAUUGUUGUCCUUUCUAUUCUCUUAGAGAUGUGAUUGCCCGUAUUAUUCAAACCCAUUUUGGUGCAUUUUUCGUUUGUAGAUCAAGAAGCCUAAAUCAGCUCGAGGACCUUGCGUUUAUCAAAUACAGCUUCAAUUCUCUUAAAUCCUCUAUCUUGAAUAAAAUCCUCUUAAAUUGUGAGAUUCUUUCUCCUAAAGUCGUGGACUUAUUGCUCAAACUUGACUAUUUUAAGUAUGUUGCCUCACACAAGUCAGCAGCAACGGUGGCCAUGGCCUGGAGGAGGAAGAUAAUGGUUACUAUCACAAGCAAGACCAAGAGGACGGAGCUAUAAUAAUUUAUAUACAAAUGGUUAAUUUAUUUUAAUUCUUUUUUUGGUUUUCUAUAAAUUUUUUUAGGAGAAUUGGAUUGUGGUAUUUAAGAGAAAUUUAUGGAUUGUUAUUUUUUAGAAUUUGAUUUUCGAUGUUUAAGGCUUUUGAGACUAGAAAAAAAAGCAGAGAGAAAUAUAUUAGGAAAGCGAAAGGGAAGAGAGAGAAAGAAAGGAGGAUUGAAGGAGAGGGAGAGGGAGAAGAGAGUAAAGAGAAAAGAGAAGGAUAAAUGAUAAAGAAAGAGCGGAUUUAAAAGAUGAGGCGGUGGUGGCGGGCAAAAGUAGCGGUUCAUGUAGGCACUGGGAUCCAGUGAUGCUGAUGUUGGUGGUAAUGAUGGUUUGCGACGGAGGUUAAGCCAUCUGCGUAAGAGAGGCUUCUUCUCUAAACGCAUUAGAUUAAGGGUGACAAAGUCAUUUCAUUGUUUUUGCCAUGUUGCUCAAUUAUUUGUCCAUACAAUUGAUUUGCUGCCUGUCAACGUGACCGGUUCAAGAUA